AAUCCAUGAUGUGGGCAUAUAUUCAUCAUAUCAUUGAACCUCUCCCAACAAACUUGGAAAGUCUCAUCACCUUUCUACAUGAACUAAUUGAUCUACUCUUGCAGGU